rnacentral:rRNA from 1 species
AACGAACGCUGGCGGCAUGCCUAACACAUGCAAGUCGAACGAGACCUUCGGGUCUAGUGGCGCACGGGUUCGUAACGCGUGGGAACCUGCCCUUAGGUUCGGAAUAACUCCCCGAAAGGGGUGCUAAUACCGGAUAAUGUCUUCGGACCAAAGAUUUAUCGCCUUUGGAUGGGCCCGCGUUGGAUUAGCUAGUUGGUAGGGUAAAAGCCUACCAAGGCGACGAUCCAUAGCUGGUCUGAGAGGAUGAUCAGCCACACUGGGACUGAGACACGGCCCAGACUCCUACGGGAAGCAGCAGUGGGGAAUAUUGGACAAUGGGCGAAAGCCUGAUCCAGCAAUGCCGCGUGAGUGAUGAAGGCAUUAGGGUUGUAAAGCUCUUUUAACCGGGAUGAUAAUGACAGUACCGGGAGAAUAAGCUCCGGCUAACUCCGUG